rnacentral:lncRNA from 1 species
UCUCUCUCCCCCUCCCUCUUCCUCUCCUUUUCCCCUUGCCUUUCCUCCCCCUUCCUCUCCCCCUUCCUCUCUCCCUUCCCUUCCAUGAGACCCUCCCCAACCCAUCUCUGCAUCUCCCAGCUCCUCCCACUCCUGCUCCUCCCUCGCCCUGCCCCCCUCCACCUAUCCCAACUCCACUCAUCCGCAGCCCAAACACUGAUCUGUUUUAGUUUGCAUUUUCUAGAGUCGUCCAUAAAUGGAAUCAUCCCAUAUGUACUUGAUUUUGUCUGGCUUCUUUCACUCAACAUAGUUACUUUGACAUGCCUGCGUGUUUUUGCAUGGAACAAUCAUUCAUUGCUUCCUGAGCAGUAUUCCAUUUAUGGAUAUACCACCGUGUGUUUAGUCAGCACUUGAUUUAGCCUGCUUUCAAUUUUUCCUGAUUAGAACUACAGCUGCUAGGAACAUCCCUGUGCAAAUCUUUGUACAGACAUAUACGGUUUUUCCUCUCUGGGGUAAAUACCUGGAAGUGGAAUGCCCAGGUCGUAAGCCUAACCUGAACUUAAGCCGGCAGAUGAGGAUAAGGCUCCCCAGCCUCCCGGAACAAGCAGACAGUUAUUAAUGGAAAUGUUCC